rnacentral:snRNA from 1 species
AUUUCUUUCUUACUGUCAAAAAUAAAAAAUCUCUGUUCUAAAUACGUGGGCCAUCGGCCCACAUGAUAGUUAGUAUAUUUUUAGGGGGAGAGCCCACCAUAGUAGCUUGCUAACUCUGGCUCUCGCGCAUCGCCCAAGCGUUGCACUACUGCUAGUGCUCGGGCCUGGCUGGCGCACCCCAC